rnacentral:tRNA from 1 species
GCCUUUGUGGUGUAGUGGUCAGCACACUCGACGUGUAACCGAGAGGUCCAUGGUUUGAUUCUUGGUGAAGGCG